UGCCGAAUACUAAGGGCCCCGAAAAUGAAUGGCGCAUAUAGUACUACCGAUCUCAGACAUCAGUUCUAUUGAACUGAGAGUAGGGGGAUGUGGACAUUUUUGUGAAGGUGCAAUGUGAGUUGGACUGGAAGAAUGUCUAUUACAGAUCCUAAUUGAAGUAGCGAUUAUCCAGGCUUGUAUCCUGGGGGCUGAUGAGGAGUAGGGUUUCUGGACAACUUAAACAGAUCCAGAGUUAGUCGAUCCUAAUCUCAAUAAUGGGAGAAAGGGAGUACAGUUGAUAUUCUGUAACUGACAACAGUUCGCGGCAACGCAUACUAUUUUUCUCCGCCAAUCUUAUACCGUUGGUAGGGAUCUCUUUCCUACAUGACAGUACUAAUACCCAGGGAAACUGGUCAUCAGGCGAACUGCGGCGUUCUGCUGGCAAAACAUAGCUUCGGUUAUGUCAAUGGCUAUUGGAUUGGUCCAUGAAGCGAAAAAUAGUUUACUGUGUCACUCGUACCGAUAACCGCAUCAGGUCUUCUAGGUAAGUAGCCUAUGGCCAUUGAGGCAUGAUAGUUCAGGGAAUUCGGCCAAUUAGAGCUGUAACUUCGGGAUAAAGCUUGGCUCUGAUGAAAAUCAGAACCGAUUGUUACGCGGAGAGCCCAACUGUUUAAUAAAAACGUAGUGUCGCGCUGUGGUAGUAUAGCCAGUGAACGCGACAUGAAUCCUGCUCAGUGCUGUGUCUGUUAAUAUGGUUCAAGCCAACGAAGCACCGGUAAAUAGCUGGGGUAACUAUGACUCUUAUCAAAGUAGCGAAAUACCUCGUCACUUAAUUAGUGACCUGCAUGAACGGAGCUAUGAGGUUCUCACUGUCCCAAACUGUCUCUCAGCGAACCAACUGUAGUGGGAACGGUCACUAGAUAUCCAGCGGGGAAAGAAGACCCUGUAGAGCUUCACUUUGGUCUAGUCUUGUAUAGUUCCUGCGGGGGUGUAGACUAGGUGGGAGAGCCAUCGAUUCUGAAAAACACUACCCUGUUU
rfam:Trichomonas vaginalis G3, whole genome shotgun sequence.